rnacentral:misc_RNA from 1 species
UACACAAGAACACAGCAAUCAGCACCACGAUAGAAAGCAACGCCAAGGCUUUGGAAUCUUUCCUGGCCAGCAGUAUCCCAGAUCUGUAAAGUGAAGAGCCUAUCUUCGAAUUGCACUUCCUUAGUCAAGAAAUCAGCUCCAAUUGUCGCCUUGUAUUGAUUGCUAAACUUCUUAUUUACAUAUUGAUUCAUCAAAGAGGUCUU